GAUGAACGCUAGCGGGAGGCUUAACACAUGCAAGUCGAGGGGCAGCAUAGGGUAGCAAUACUCUGAUGGCGACCGGCAAACGGGUGAGUAACGCGUAUGCAACCUACCCUGUACAGGGGGAUAACCCGGAGAAAUUCGGACUAAUAUCCCGUAAUAAUAUCCGGAGGCAUCUUUGGAUAUUUAAAGUUCCGACGGUACGGGAUGGGCAUGCGUAACAUUAACUGGUUGGUAAGGUAACGGCUUACCAAGGCUAUGAUGUUUAGGGGUCCUGAGAGGGUGGUCCCCCACACUGGUACUGAGACACGGACCAGACUCCUACGGGAGGCAGCAGUGAGGAAUAUUGGUCAAUGGGCGCAAGCCUGAACCAGCCAUCCCGCGUGCAGGAAGACGGCCCUAUGGGUUUAAACUGCUUUUCCAGGGAGAGAACUUACGCACGUGUUGCGUGACUGACGGUACCCUGGGAAUAAGCAUCGGCUAACUCCGUGCCAGCAGCCGCGGUAAAACUGUCUACG
rnacentral:rRNA from 1 species